rnacentral:rRNA from 1 species
CCCUUAGAUGUUCUGGGCCGCACGCGCGCUACACUGACGGAGUCAACGAGUUGUCCUGCAUCGGAAGGUGUGGGUAAUCUUUUGAAACUUCGUCGUGCUGGGGAUAGCUCUUUGCAAUUUUCGAUCUUGAACGAGGAAUUCCUAGUAAGCGUGAUUCAUCAGAUCGCGUUGAUUACGUCCCUGCCCUUUGUACACACCGCCCGUCGCUACUACCGAUUGAAUGGUUUAGUGAGGCCUCGGGACUGGCGCGCUCGAGUAGCAAUACACCUGCGCGCCGGGAACUUGGUCAAACUUGAUCAUUUAGAGGAAGUAAAAGUCGUAACA